rnacentral:rRNA from 1 species
GGCGAUCAGAUACCGCCCUAGUUCUAACCGUAAACGAUGACAACCAGCGAUUAAUCGGCGUUAAUAUAUGACCCGAUUAGCAGCUUCCGGGAAACCAAAGUUUUUCGUUUCCGGGGGAAGUAUGGUUGCAAAGCUGAAACUUAAAGGAAUUGACGGAAGGGCACCACCAGGAGUGGAGCCUGCGGCUUAAUUUGACUCAACACGGGAAAACUCACCCGGCCCGGACACUGUAAGGAUUGACAGACUGAGAGCUCUUUCUUAAUUCGGUGGGUGGUGGUGCAUGGCCGUUCUUAGUUGGUGGAGCGAUUUGUCUGGUUAAUUCCGAUAACGAACGAGACUCUGGCCUAUUAAAUAGACGAUAUAUUUAAUAGUAUAUCGCGCUUCUUAGAGGGACAAGCGGCGUCUAGCCGCAUGAAAUAGAGCAAUAACAGGUCUGUGAUGCCCUUAGAUGUCCGGGGCUGCACGCGCGCUACACUGAAAGAAUCAGAGUGCGUUUUAACCUAGUUCGGAAGAACCGGGUAACCCAAGUAAAUUCUUUCGUGCUUGGGAUAGGGAAUUGCAAUUAUUUCCCUUAAACGAGGAAUUCCCAGUAAAUGCGGGUCAUAAGCUCGCGUUGAUUACGUCCCUGCCCUUUGUA